CGUCAGGACGAACGCUGGCGGCGUGCCUAACACAUGCAAGUCGAGCGAUGAAACCCCUUCGGGGGUGGAUUAGCGGCGGACGGGUGAGUAACACGUGGGUAACCUGCCUCAAAGUGGGGGAUAGCCUUCCGAAAGGAAGAUUAAUACCGCAUAAAGCCAAGUUUCACAUGGAAUUUGGAUGAAAGGAGUAAUUCGCUUUGAGAUGGACCCGCGGCGCAUUAGUUAGUUGGUGGGGUAAUGGCCUACCAAGACAGCGAUGCGUAGCCGACCUGAGAGGGUGAUCGGCCACAUUGGAACUGAGAUACGGUCCAGACUCCUACGGGAGGCAGCAGUGGGGAAUAUUGCACAAUGGGCGAAAGCCUGAUGCAGCAACGCCGCGUGAGUGAUGAAGGUCUUCGGAUUGUAAAGCUCUGUCUUUUGGGACGAUAAUGACGGUACCAAAGGAGGAAGCCACGGCUAACUACGUGCCAGCAGCCGCGGUAAUACGUAGGUGGCGAGCGUUGUCCGGAUUUACUGGGCGUAAAGGGUGCGUAGGCGGAUGUUUAAGUGAGAUGUGAAAUACCCGGGCUUAACUUGGGUGCUGCAUUUCAAACUGGAUAUCUAGAGUGCAGGAGAGGAGAAUGGAAUUCCUAGUGUAGCGGUGAAAUGCGUAGAGAUUAGGAAGAACACCAGUGGCGAAGGCGAUUCUCUGGACUGUAACUGACGCUGAGUCA
rnacentral:rRNA from 1 species